UGAUCAAGCCGCAAUAUAAUAUUUGUAAGCAAGGAUCGUAAGCUUAUUUCUUAUGCUCAGAAUGUGGCUUUACGGCCGCAAAAAAAAAACUGUGAGUCUGAGAAGGCAAAGACGAAAGGGAAUCGUUCGGUGGGGCCGCGCGGGACUCGAAUAAACCGGGAAAGGAGAUAGCGCACGAGAGAGAGAGAGAGAGAGGAAGCAUCAACGGAAUCCAUGGAAUAAUAAUGGGCACUAUGAAAUGAGAAUUGUUGCGGAUGCUGUGAGAAAUGGCCGAAGCACUUGGAAUAGGAUCGCGAGGCAGGAGCAGCGAUCGAGUUCGCGUCGACGAGCGGCUUCCGAAUUCCGUGGGUUUCUGUACCGAGAGUUCGAUGAAAAUAAGAAACUAAAAAGCGGGCGGUGAUUCAACACUUGGAAAGUCUGGGAUCCGUGAAAUGAAAAGCCCGAAUUGAUGGAGCUGCUCAGGGCACAUUGAAACUAAAAUAUUUUUAAGAUUUCGGCCCAAGUUCACUCGACUCCCCGGAAUCAUAUCGACAUCUCUGAUUACCUUAAAUGCGAAAAUCUAAUGAGACAUCGGAAGUGCGAUUUAUUAGAUCCCAAAGCCUGGAGAUUGCGUCUUGAAUAUUCAUCGCGAAAUUCGAUCAUUACGCAUUCGCCGAGUCGGACUCGAGUGCUGGUCCCGUGCAGCGGCAAAUAAUCACGGGUCAGUGUACGCGGGCGCACGCAGGGGAUCGAGCUCACAGCUCUUCGGGUGUGACAUUUUUGGCCGCUGGUGGGCCUAUUUCUGAGUUAUGCCACGAGAUGGAUAGCCGAAGGGCCGCGCCUUCCUUUAUCCCUCUCAAAAUUCUACCGUAACGUCGGAGAAGAUCUGAGAACUUCCUAAAUUGAUAUACACCAUGCUGUGUUUGCGACGAGAAACAGAGACGAGUGAAACCGGCAGCAUAUUCCGCACAGGAUAAUGAAUUUUCCUGUACACCAUCUCUCAAGCCGCAGACUAUAUUCAACCAAAAGACAAAUGGGUGUAUUCUAAGCUGAGGAGAAAACGACUAAAUAUCCGUUUCAAAGAGUUCAUCGCGUACAACUCGCAGACUGACUCGUAGACCCAUUGUCGUCUCCAGAUUUGUCUCUCGAACAUGAGACGAUUUCUUCAAUUAAUAACCGGAAAGUUCCUGUCCCUAUAAUUUCGAGUUACAAUAAAAUUUUUAUACUCUUUUUUGGAAUACUGUUAAAACAUUGGCAAAAAUGAUUUUUGCGGGCUGCUUUACUGAGAAAAAAAGUCAUUGAAACAACGAAACGUGGCAUUAUGAGGUGCCAACGAAACGAAUGAUCAUCACAAGGUCAAACAUGAUUAAACGAAUAAAAUAGUUUUAGAUCAAACUGCAGAUUCAUUCUCUCCGAAAAUAUUGCAGUUAAAUGAAAAAAAAACU